UGGCUGUCUGUUGUUUUUCCAGCCUGGUACUCAGCUGGGAACAAAUCUGUUUAUAGUCUGCAAUAAUAGCUGUGGUUUUCUUAAUCUCAGAUUCUGCCUUCUCCAGUUGCUUCCUGAAGACUUCCUUCAGCUGAGCAGUUUCCUCUUCCUGCUUCCGUUUCUCUUCCUCAGUCUCCACCAGUUUCUGUUUGGUCAGGAGAAGUUCUUUGUUCAGAACAUCUGCUUUGUCUU
rnacentral:lncRNA from 1 species